UUUAAUUGAAGAGUUUGAUCAUGGCUCAGAUUGAACGCUGGCGGCAGGCCUAACACAUGCAAGUCGAGCGGUAACAGAAAGUAGCUUGCUACUUUGCUGACGAGCGGCGGACGGGUGAGUAAUGCUUGGGAACAUGCCUUGAGGUGGGGGACAACAGUUGGAAACGACUGCUAAUACCGCAUAAUGUCUACGGACCAAAGGGGGCUUCGGCUCUCGCCUUUAGAUUGGCCCAAGUGGGAUUAGCUAGUUGGUGAGGUAAUGGCUCACCAAGGCAACGAUCCCUAGCUGGUUUGAGAGGAUGAUCAGCCACACUGGGACUGAGACACGGCCCAGACUCCUACGGGAGGCAGCAGUGGGGAAUAUUGCACAAUGGGCGCAAGCCUGAUGCAG
rnacentral:rRNA from 1 species